GACGAACGCUGGCGGCGUGCUUAACACAUGCAAGUCGAACGGUAAGGCCCUGCUUUUGUGGGUUGCUCGAGUGGCGAACGGGUGAGUAACACAUGAGUAACCUGCCCUUGACUUUUGGGUUACUUCCUGAAACUGGGGAUAAUUCCGGGUAGGGUCUUCUGCUGCAUUGUUCUGGUUGUUAAAUUUCGGCGGUUCGGGAUGGGGGCCCUGAGUCUCAGUUAGUUGGUGGGGUGGUGGCUUACCACGGCGACGAUGCGUAGCCGGCAUGAGAGGGUGAACGGCCACAUUGGGACUGGGACACGGCCCAGACUCCUACGGGAGGCAGCAGUAGGGAAGUUUCGGCAAUGGGGGAAACCCUGACCGAGCAACGCCGCGUGAGUGAUGACGGCCUUCGGGUUGUAAAGCUCUGUUGUAAGGGAAGAACGGUAGAUAGAGAAUAUCUAAAUGACGGUACCUUACCAGAAAGCCACGGCUAACUACGUG
rnacentral:rRNA from 1 species